AACAACUCAUUUUUUGAUUAUGGAUAGAAACAUUUUUGGCAACUGAAAGAAUCUGUUCUAUAUUUCUUAAAAUGUUUAAGAUGACUACAAGACGAGGGGGACUUUAGGCCUAACCUCCAAUACUUACAAAAUUCAUAAAUAAACUACUAAUUUCUACAGACAACAAUAUUAGAGGUGACUCUCCUCCCUAUUUCAAGAAUUACAAGUGCUAUAAAUUUGAAAACUUGUAGAGCUUCUGUAGUAUCAAAUGUUUCUGCAGUCGCGCCCUCCAGCUUCUUAGUUUCAUGCUUUGUACAAUUUUAACCUUGUAAAACUUGAGACAAUCAGUCCAUGGAUAAAAAUAAGUUGCAACUUGAGAAUUUCUGCAGAUGUUGGAAAGACAAAUUUUAGUUUGUAAAACAUAGUUCGUGAGAGCAUAUAAUAGAUCUUAAUGUCUUUGUAAUAUACAAUCACAACUUAAACAAUAAUCCUACAUUGCAAAUCAUAAUUAAUAUUGCACCCUCCAGCUUCUAAUUUAUGAUUUGUACAAUCAUAAGCUUGUAAAAGUUGAGACAAACAAUGGGUAAUACCUGUAGAGGUUGAAAAAAAAUUCUAGUUUGUCAUCACCCUCAAUUUGUAUCGCAACUACCCUGCAAAAUACUUGAUUAUCAAAACGUUCUGUCUCAAUAACUU
rnacentral:lncRNA from 1 species